rnacentral:rRNA from 1 species
GACGAACGCUGGCGGCGUGCCUAAUACAUGCAAGUCGAACGCGGAAGGAGGAGCUUGCUCUUCUGGAUGAGUUGCGAACGGGUGAGUAACGCGUAGGUAACCUGCCUGGUAGCGGGGGAUAACUAUUGGAAACGAUAGCUAAUACCGCAUAACAGUAGAUGUUGCAUGACAUUUGCUUAAAAGGUGCAAUUGCACCACUACUAAAUGGACCUGCGUUGUAUUAGCUAGGUGGGGGGGUAACGGCUCACCAAGGCGACGAUGAAUAGCCGACCAGAGAGGGUGCUCGGCAUAACUGGGAUGGGAGCAUGGCCCAGAACCCUGAGGGAGGGAGAAGGAGGGAAUUUUCGGAAAAGGCAGGAAGGCUGAACGAGCAACGACGGGGGAGUGAAGAAGGCUUUCGGAUCGUAAAGCUCUGUUGUAAGAGAAGAAAGAGUGUGAGAGUGGAAAGUUCACACUGUGACGGUAUCUUACCAGAAAGAGACGGCUAACUACGUG